AUUGAACGCUGGCGGCAUGCCUUACACAUGCAAGUCGAACGGUAACGCGGGGCAACCUGGCGACGAGUGGCGAACGGGUGAGUAAUGUAUCGGAACGUGCCCAGUUGUGGGGGAUAACUGCUCGAAAGAGCAGCUAAUACCGCAUACGACCUGAGGGUGAAAGCGGGGGACCGUAAGGCCUCGCGCGAUUGGAGCGGCCGAUAUCAGAUUAGCUAGUUGGUGGGGUAAAAGCCAACAAAGGCGACGAUCUGUAGCUGGUCUGAGGGGACGACCAGCCACACUGGGACUGAGACACGGCCCAGACUCCUACGGGAGGCAGCAGUGGGGAAUUUUGGACAAUGGACGCAAGUCUGAUCCAGCCAUGCCGCGUGCGGGAAGAAGGCCUUCGGGUUGUAAACCGCUUUUGUCAGGGAAGAAACGAGUUUCUCUAAUACAGAGACUUAAUGACGGUACCUGAAGAAUAAGCACCGGCUAACUACGUGCCAGCAGCCGCCGUAAGAC
rnacentral:rRNA from 1 species